rnacentral:snoRNA from 1 species
AUUAUGGAUGAUGAUGAGAUGGUUCACUUUAUCUUGAAUGGUCUUGACUUUGACUACAAUCCUUUUGUGUCAUCAAUGCUUGGUCGUGUUGGCUUUCUCUGCUUGAGUGAUUUGUAUUCCCAGCUACUCACAUAUGAUC